UACGUAGGGGGCAAGCGUUGUCCGGAAUCAUUGGGCGUAAAGCGCGCGUAGGCGGCCCUGUAAGUCCGCUGUAAAAGUCAAAGGCUCAACCUUUGAAAGCCGGUGGAUACUGCAGGGCUAGAGUCCGGAAGAGGCGAGUGGAAUUCCCGGUGUAGCGGUGAAAUGCGCAGAUAUCGGGAAGAACACCCGUGGCGAAGGCGGCUCUCUGGGACGGUACUGACGCUGAGACGCGAAAGCGUGGGGAGCGAACAGG
rnacentral:rRNA from 1 species